rnacentral:tRNA from 1 species
CCGUCGAUAGCUCAGUUGGUAGAGCGGUGGACUGUAGAGGAAAGGUUGCUGUCAUCCAUAGGUCGCUGGUUCGAAUCCGGCUCGACGGA